UUUCAAUAUUGGCCAUCAUAGGUCAUGAAGAAAUGUGAUGACAUAAAAUUUAUGCUCAAUAGGAUUACGCUGAGUCCC
ensembl:snoRNA